CAGUCGGCCCGGGUGGGAAUGGGGCCUGUUGAGAGCUUUCUGUAUCCAUGCUGCGGGUGCGAGGCAGCGCAUUCCUGUGCUUUGGGCUUUCCAGCGGGGGCUCUCUCUCCUCUCCGCUCCUGUAGCUCUGCUACAUUAUUCCAAAUCUGAAAAGCUCCUUUAACUUGCAAACUGUUUUAAUCUUGCUCAGUUCCCUUCUUUCUCAUACGCACCCCAACAACGCCCUGUUGAGCUUGCCCUGAAGCCGUGAAAGCGCAAGGGCUCUGCUGGAGGUGGGGAACAAGGUGGCAAAACCACUGUGAGGAUGCCUGGUACAAUACUCGGAGUUGGGCCUGGAGUCUUCAUCUUAGCACUGCUCUGGGUUCUCACCUUGUUGCUCUGUGUGUUGUUAUCCAGAGCGGCUGGACUUGCUAGGUUUUCUGUCAUUUUGGUUUUCUUUGCGGCUGUGAUAAUCACAUUGGCUCUGUUGCUUUUUCCUCGUGCCAGUGAAUUGCCAGAACCACCUGCUGAAAUUAAGAUUGUGGACACCUUCUUCAUCGGCCGUUUUGUCGUGCUCUCUUUUUUGAGUGUGACUUUUCUAGGAUGCCUCUUCAUGCUUUUGAUUCACCACGUCCUGCAACCUGUGUAUGCCAAGCCAGUGAGAGUUGCCUCAUAAGAGCAUAGAUGGUCCAUCUUUGGUGCUGCUUUGGCCUGGAGAAAAGACUUCUGCAACAAGUACUAGAAAAGUGAGAGAUGCUAAUGAGUCCCUCUGAGAAGUCACUUGGCUGAAUUGUUCCAGAAGAAAAAACUGGAAGCAGAUCAUUUUUCUUAGUCACCAGAUACUUUUUGUCCACUUCUAAAGAGUUGAGGGAAUGCAUCCCGUAUCUGUUUUAAUGUUUUCUCUCUGAAUCUCUCAUUGUUUUUUCCAGACCUGACACUUGCUUCUGCAUAUAUACAUGCACCUAUGCAUGCGCAAGAAAAAAUGUAUCUGAAUGGGUGAAACUAAGAUUUCAUCUGUCCAUAAAUUUAUGAAGUUUGAAGUUCUAAACUGGAUUCUAGCUUUCAUAGGUCAUGCCAUGAUUCCUUGCAUGCACCUUUUUAUCCCAUUCAUAACGGGAUUGUAAUUAGUCCCCAUGGAUGACACACCCAGAACUUUUAGGCAAAGUCCUGGAGGGCCACAAGUUGCCUAUUACUGCCCUACUAUACAAAUAAUAUGACUUGCUUGGCAAGCUCUCAUUUCUUUAGACAUGUAAAACACAUACCGUUGAUUUGUGUAUCUGAUGGUUUUCAAUCAUUGGCAGAGAAACCACAGAGAGUACUAAAAUCCCACCCUGGUCUGUGUGAUUUUUCCAUCCAGUCCUGUGCAGAGCUAGGUGUGGAUAAACCUAUUGAAAUCAAUCAGCUGAGGUAUGCUUUAAAUGCAUGAAAUGUUCUCAUGACUGGCAACAUAGACAUAUUGAGUAGCAACUUGCUUUUAACAGCAGAACAGAAGCUCAACCUUCUCCAGAAUGUGAAAACCAUAUUAAGUACAAAAUUUGGCACGUGCCUGGUGGCAUUGCCAAAGUGGGGGAUACACAGAGUCCUAAAGAUGCUCAGUGUUGGAUCUGAUAAUGAAUAGGGGUCUGGAAAUCGCUUCAGUUGUCUUACACCAGAAUCCACUCUAUUACUGUCAGUGAAUGCCAUUCUCUGCCAUUUUUGCUUUGCAUAUUUUUUUAGGAUGGGGUGUCCAAAAAGCAGAUCUUAUUCCAGCCUUCUACGUAGGUUUUUGGGGUCAGUGAUUCUGUAACUUCUGAGUAUUAAAUAUACUUUUUGCUUUGAGUUAUCCUCUUAGUUCUUGUUCAUUCAUAAUCCGCAGGCAAUUCUAAUUUCCCCUGGACUGAGAUAUCCCAUUUUGCUGGCACUAGCUGUAGAAUAAUUUUCAUUUGGCCUAAAAAAUUAAACUUGAAAUGGAAGAACAGCCCCCUUUUCUCCUAGCGAAAGAGGUAUGUGAGAUGGCAAAGGGCUUUUUCUAACAAGAUUGUAGAUACAUUUUCUAACUUCAUUAAAGGUACUUGCCCUGGGAGUGAAUAAAACCCCUCACAGAAUAAUUCUAAAAUAGCUGAACCUCUUUUUAACAAGAGGAAUAAGUAGGAAAGUAAUUGGCCAGCUAAGGAAUACUUAAAAACCCAGCAAAUAGAAGGGAAAGCUUCCUAAAAUAGAUUGUCAGUGUUUCCAUAUCACAUAUUAAUUGGCAACAGCCCAUUUGGAAAGCCAUAAAAACCUGGGGAGGUGGCAAGAAAUUGCAAAUACAAAGUUGCCAGUUCUCCUGAUUUCAUUUUUUAGAAAAGUCUCUCAGACAGAAAUCAGAAUACUCAUGAUGAUAGAGUAAUAAGGGUAUAAUUUCAUUAUUACAAAGCAAAGUUUGAAAAGUGUGAAUUUGGCUCAAAGUCCAAAUAUUCAAAGUAGCGAAUAACCCAUUUUACAUAAAAAAUGCAGCUGUCACAAUUCAGCACCAGGUUACAUAUUUAUGGACAGCUUUGCAUCUAAGUAUUUCUGAUGAUUUAGGCACACUUAAUGAGCUUAUGCAUGUCUAAUUCAGCAGGUCCUUGACCAUUGGUGUAGGAAAUUUACUGCCACAAGGAAUAAUAAUGACUCCUAGCACAUAUAAUUCUUUGCUGAUAAAAUAGAGGAAUCACAGGUUCCCUGUUUUGAUGGAAGGAGCUUCCUCUGAUAGGAGUCCAUUGGAGAAUAAUCUUCAUAUCCAACCCAGUUUAUGCUAACUUGGAUGAAUGGAAAAUAUAAAUGUGGCAAAUUAAAGGGAAACUGGAUAAAAGGGCAGAGAUUGUUAGCUAGUAUGGAAAUAAAGCUGGACAUUCUGACACGAUGUAUUCUCUACCCAGCUGUUGAUGCUGCUCCAUAAAGUUUGCUCAAGCUUCCAAGCUAGGUGACUUGGCUGGCAAGCUGCCAUUUCAAAUUUCACACAGUGACCUGGAGCAAUGCUGCAUCGAGUGCAUGAUGAGGAGCUGAAAUGGCAACAUGCCAACCAAGCCACUUCUGCCAGACAAGCCACGGGUAGGGUGACUGUGUGUCCUACUUUACAGAGAAGGGUACUCUUUUUGGAGGUCUGUCAGGCCCCCUCUGAAGGGCUGCCGGUCCAAAUCUAGUUUCAAGUGCAAGAACCGUUUGAAGGAAAAGUGGGGGGCUUGGGGUUUCCCAUCAACAGUAGCUGGACAGCUGGUGGAGCAGGCACAGAGAUCAUUAAGCACAGUUUUCUACAUUAUGAUGAAAUGUAUUGUCCUUUUAUUUCCAUUACAGUAAGUUCUAAGUUUAGCACAUGUAAUUUUAUUGCAAAUUUGUGCUCUCUUCUGCCCCUGCCUUUUGUUUUGUUUUGUUUUGUUUUGUUUUGUUUUGUUUUUGUGAUGGGGAAGUUGGCCCACUAGUUAGACUCACACUGAUAUUGGAGGGGGCCUUGCCAAGGACACUUCAGUGAGAGCCUCCUCGUGUCUGAAAAAAGACAUACCCAGGGGUGGGAUAGACCAGGAAUGGACCUUUCUGACAGAGAGCCACAUCCUUCUGGUCUGAGAAAGACUUCAAAACCCACCAUCCCAUGUUCUCUUGCUUUUUAAAGUCGUCCAGCUGUUCCUAAGUUUAAUAAAGUGCAUCCUACGUAUUAACUUCCAAGCCUGAGUGUUGGCUCCCUUCCUCCCUCUCCAUUUGUGGGACUUGUGUGUAAGUCUUGUUCAGGCCCAGAGAGACUUAAUUAAAUGUGUUAAUUCUGCAGCCUCCUGCUGUAAUUUGUCAAGUAUUUUCUGUUUUAAGUCUCACAACCCUAAGGUCAGAGACGGAGCGACCCGGGAGACCAAAAUGCUCCACUGCUUGAUUUCCGUAUCUUUCUACCUUAACACUGGAUUUGUUUGUCUUUUAUUUUCUCACACAAGGAUUGGCCCACUUAGCCAACACAGGUACACCAGUGGGCAUUUCUGGUAAUGACAUUUUCAAGCAUACCAGGGGGAAAAGAGCACGAGUUACAAUUGAGGAGUGGGCAAGUUACGGGUUUCCAGAUGUAAUUGGGCUGCAACUCUCCUCAUCCCUGUGCACUGGCUAUGCUGGCUGGAACUGAUGGGACUCCAAGUCCAGCAACCUCUGGGCUCCUCACCCCAGCCAGAGCUGGUGUUGUUAGGUCUGUUACAGUGUUAAAAUUACAUAAUGAUCAAUGCUGGAGCAGUUAUCUUACCGAGCUAGAUCAAACAAGUGUCAGACCACUAGCUACUGUUUUUAGAAGGCUACCAUGAUGUGGUGGUAAGGAAACAGUUUAAUUAACUUAGUGGUGGGUUGGGGGCUUAGACUGAGGGUCCCCCUGAAUGCAUCCACCUCAGCUGGUGUACUUGUCUCAUAGCACUCAUGGGAGAUACAGCAAUGAUGGCUGCUGGCCAUGGUAGCUGUGGGAAGUCUUCUGGAAUCCCCGCUCAACUCAGGAUCUGAGACAAUGAGUCCCUGGAUGGUAGCUGCUAAGGAGGGUCGUGGGAGAGAGCGGCCACCUCUCUCCCUGUGGGCUUCCCAUGGGUACCUGGUCGGCCAUUGUGGGAACCAGGUUGCUGUACCGGGUAGGCCUUUGGUCACAUCGAGCAGGGUUCUUAGACGGAAGAUAGAAGCAUUUGGUUGCUGAUAUGCAUCUCCCUGGGAGACUGUGUGGCAUCUGAUUUUAUUCUAAUUGCCGAGUGAGAAGGAGGAAGUUAGCACAGGUCCCAGUUGCCUUGAGGGCUCAACCAGGUUGGGCCAGACUCGCUGGCUGGGGAAUUUUUGUUAUUUAUUUCAUUUCUUAUUGCAUUCAUAUCCUGUCUUUUUCAAUCUUGCAAGGAGCCCAGAGUAGGCUACAGGGUCCUCUUCCUUCUCUCCAUUUUAUUCUCAUAACAACCCUGUGAGGUAGAUUAGGAUGAAAAUCACUGACUGGCCCAAAGGCACCCAGUGAGCUUCAUGGCCAAGCCAGGAUUAGAACUUGGACCUGUGGAGUCCUAGUCCAAACUUCUCACUGUCACUGGAGAAGAAAGGCAGCAAGCCAGGUCCUGUCCCCCCAAAUGGUUGAGAAUAAAUCUAGCGAUGGUUCAUUAGGCCUUCACAGAAGGUGCCCCUUCUCAGUUGAGCCCACUUGAAGGGGAAACAGUAUGCAAGGACAAGAAGGGUCGAGGUCCUCCCCUCUUACCCAUGGUCUAUCUGAGCCGUUUGUCUAGCCUGGAAGAAUAAGAGGAGAGAUGCUGUGCAGGAUGGCCGCUUACGCACUGCCAAAAAAGAAGGAAGUGCAUCACACACACAGAGGCUUGCAGAGUUUUGCAAACAUUUGCCUGUGCUAAUUUUUAUGUAUUUAAGUAAAUUUCUGAAUAAUUACUAUAAUUUCAGUAGAAACACAAACUAAGCACAGUGAGGAAGGUUUUGACUAGCUGUCCUCUGUUUCCUACUAUGUUUGCUGUCCAGGUACUAACUCUGGAUGGGCAUUCACAAGGCCUCUGCUGGACUUCCUUCUUCUACCAUUUAUCAUGAAACCCUACUUCAGCUGGACUCAAGGAGUGCCCUUUGCCGUCCAAAGGACAGGCCACAAGCAUAAAAUAAUCUUUAUGGCGCAUGUGUGCUCCUUCCCACUUUCACUUUACUUCGUUCGUGUGGGUUCUAGGAGCACGGGCAGGGGACAUGGCCAAAGAAGGCUGGACAGGUGCAUGCAGGGCAUCUGUCAGUGGGCUGCACGCCAUUCAAGGGCUGCCAGUUCCCAACCUCUAAUUAUCUUAGAAGGAAACAAUCCUGUUUUCUUUUGAUGCCCUAUUGUCCCAUUCUUUUCACACAAAAACCAAUUCCCCCCACUUUUUAAGAAAGGGGUGGGGUGGGCAAAAUUCCAAGCAUCUGGGAGGUCUGCAAGAAAUGGGAAAAAAGCCACUUUAGAAACGGGACCACUCCUCUGUUAUUCUUACUUUGGCUCCAUCUAGUGACUUAUCCAAGGGGAAAUACAGAAAGAGGCAUACAUACAGGACGGCAUUCUGUUUUCCAGGUAGUUCAGCCUUUAUAUCGCAAUGCCACUCACUGCUUGUUCUCACUGUAUUUCUUUUACACGCCCACCCUGUAUAUCACGCGGAUGUUUGGAGCGACAUGAAAUGAAUGCACAGGCAGGACAGGUUGGCUUUGUGAGGAGACUAGCAGACACCAUUCAGUUCUAAAGUAAACACAGUAAAAGACACCAAGAGCCUCUUAAUUCAGGGGUGAGGCAGACUUUCAGGAGUUCCCAUGUUGGUUUUACUAAAACUGAGAGAUUCGUGACCCAGAUCUGGUGCCAAAGUCAUACAUGUAUAAUGAAGGAUCCUGAGAUCAGGAAUUUCAAGUACUAGAG